rnacentral:misc_RNA from 1 species
CUUACUCAUGAUGUUGGAGUUCGCCAACUCUGUUUGUUUGAUCUUACUCAUGAUGUUGGAGCUCGUCAUACAUGAAUGCAUCUACGACUCAACAGUAUUUUUCUCAGAAGUAUCAAUGGUUAUUUUUUUUGUAGUCAUAAAUAAAAUAUGUACUGAAAUUUGGGCUCCAAAUUGUAUCAAAUUAACCAUGGCUUCAACGUACUUAAAUUUGGGCUACCUGAUCUAAUUAUACUAGUCAGAUUAAUGCUGAUAGAAUCUACAUACUUAGGGGAUCGGAUUCUGCUAUUGAUGAGAUGGGGCUUCUAUUCACAAGAUGUUCCGGAUAUUGGUGGAUCUCUGACAUUUAUGAUAGGUUGAUCUUGAUCUUGGUGGAAGUCGUCUCUAUGUUUGUCCAUCAUGAUCUCUUGUUACACAUUUAAAAUUCUUUAGCGUCUAUAUGUUUCCAACAGUAAUUUCGAGCAUUAAAAUGCAGUUAUUGUUUCUUAAGCCUCGGAUGCUUUCAAUAGGUCAUUGUAGAUUUCAGGAUUGAUUCACAAUAGCAACUGAUACUAUCCCCAUGGGACCUCUCUUUGGAGAAUUUGGCUAUCAAGUUAAGUAAACAAUUGGUACUUAAUUUAGUU